rnacentral:lncRNA from 1 species
CCUAGUCACUGCAACUUUACUUCACGCUGAGCGAUACCUUGCAGUUUCUUUUUCUCUUCACCUCCUUACUCUGCCACGACUUCCCAUGCACCCUAGGUGGGUGUCUCUUCUCACCCCUGCCAUCAGCAACUGCUGCUACAGGAAAGUCACCACGUUUGGGAAAACUGUUGUAUUGCUGGUGGAACAGCUCAGCUCAUCAUGGAUGGUGAUGGACAGCCCUGCCACAAGCCUGAGGGGGCUGGUGGCUGGAUGCGGCCAGAGACCUCCCUG